CCUACGGGAGGCAGCAGUGAGGAAUAUUGGUCAAUGGCCGGAAGGCUGAACCAGCCAUGCCGCGUGAAGGUCAGUGCCCUAUGGGCGUUAAACUUCUUUUGUGCGGGAGCAAUAAUGGUCACGUGUGGCCAGACGAGAGUACCGUACGAAUAAGCAUCGGCUAACUCCGUUCCAGCAGCCGCGGUAAUACGGGGGAUGCAAGCGUUAUCCGGAUUUAUUGGGUUUAAAGGGUGCGUAGGCUGUGAGGUAAGUCAGCGGUGAAAUGCCCCCGCUCAACGGGGUGAAGUGCCAUUGAUACUGGCUGGCUGGAAUGCGGAUGCCGUGGGAGGAAUGUGUGGUGUAGCGGUGAAAUGCAUAGAUAUCACACAGAACACCGAUUGCGAAGGCAUCUCACGAAUCCGCGAUUGACGCUGAUGCACGAAAGCGUGGGUAUCAAACAGGAUUAGAUACCCCUGUAGUC
rnacentral:rRNA from 1 species